UUUGCUGGUGAGUUUAUUUGAAGUAAAAUAGGUCGAUGUCGAAAUAGAAUGAGGAUCUCUUGGACAACUGGGCAUGAAUAGACUCCUGAACCAUCCCUUUGUGACGAAGUUGAUGUACCCUGGCCCUGGCGAACCGGUACGAGUUUCGUUCAUUGCCGGGUUUUUCUUCUGCAGCGGCGCAGCUCUUGAGCUGAUUAUGCUCAAUCUGGACGUGAAUGGUGUAAACUUUUACGGCACUGUCAAGAGAAAGCAAGCGGAGAAGGUGGCCGAGCGAGCAACCUACUGGAAGUCAGUCGGCUUCGAUCCGGAUCGAGUGGUGGAGGAGCAUCGGCAGAAGGACACGCCCAAACACGAGUAGAGCGCUUAUCAGCACCACCACCGCCAACAUGCCGUACGAUAUGACAACAGUGCAGUUCGCUGUCCGUACUGUCGUUGCCAUUGGCUCCAUGAUCGCUGGCAACUCUCUGGUGCACAACUACUACAAGCCAGAUCUGUCACUAGCGCCUUAUCUAGACCAGCCGGAAGAGGCUGUUGUGGAAAAGCCGAAGCGACGCAUACGUGUCCGAGAUGUCACUGAGAAUAGCACUAGACGCUCGGAGAGCUGAGCCCUUUCUGCCUUUUCAAGGGUGGUGACUUGCCGCCGCCUUGCGGGGCGCGCACGACACAAUUGCGUCUGCCUGCGUCGGAGUAGCCGUGCCGAUCUACUGCUAUCGGCUCAGCUCAUUGUUCUGGUGCUGUGGUGGACCUGUUGUACUGCUGGUGGCCCACCGUAAGCUGCUAAGCAACAUUGCUGCAAACCUGAGCUUGUUUGGUGUCAGUGUUUGAAGUGUCUGAUGCCGUUGCUGCGACGGCUGCCGUCAUGCUCUGGAUAUGGAUUGUGCAUCAGCUUCAGUUGCUGCUGCACCAGCCAGACACUUCGAAGUAGUAGUAUUUUAUUUACAGAUUCUGUCGGGGGAAUUCUCGAUGCGGGGCCCCGGAGGUGAAUAGAAUUUCUAUUUUGAGACGGUGCACUGCACCUGCUGCUGCUGCCAUGGCUGGUCUGGUCUCUGUGUUGAUUGCCGUGCAUGUGUAUUGCAGCUGCACCUCAGCUUGCUUGUUACCUACAGCUCGGGCAUCAUCCCGUCCAGUUCACUGCUGUGAAGGUACGGCUGGCUAGCGUUCCCUGCACUCAGUCCUGGAUAUGCGAGUCGUUGCUGCACUGACAUUAUGUAUGGCUGCUUGUCUGGCUGCUUUGUAUGCGAGCAGAUGGGGAAUAACCAAUUUCUUUCUUGUUUCUUUACAACAACGAAUUUCUCACCAGAA